rnacentral:rRNA from 1 species
UACAGAGGUCUCAAGCGUUGUUCGGAAUCACUGGGCGUAAAGGGUGCGUAGGCCGCACGGUAAGUCAGAGGUGAAAUCCCGGAGCUCAACUCCGGAAUGGCCUCCGAUACUGCCGUGCUCGAGGACUGGAGAGGAGUCUGGAAUUCACAGUGGAGCAGUGAAAUGCGUUGAUAUCGGAAGGAACGCCGGUGGCGAAAGCGACGGACUGGAUCUCUUCUGACGCUGAGGCGCGAAAGCCAGGGGAGCAAACGGG